rnacentral:misc_RNA from 1 species
GAUGAAGAACGCAGCGAAAUGCGAUAAGUAAUGUGAAUUGCAGAAUUCAGUGAAUCAUCGAAUCUUUGAACGCACAUUGCGCCCGCCAGUAUUCUGGCGGGCAUGCCUGAUCGAGCGUCAUUACAACCCUCAGGCCCCCGGGCCUGGCGUUGGGGAUCGGCGGAAGCCCCCUGCGGGCACAACGCCGUCCCCCAAAUACAGUGGCGGUCCCGCCGCAGCUUCCAUUGCGUAGUAGCUAACACCUCGCAACUGGAGAGCGGCGCGGCCACGCCGUAAAACACCCAACUUCUGAAUGUUGACCUCGAAUCAGGUAGGAAUACCCGCUGAACUUAAGCAUAUCAAUAAGCGGAGGA